AUUGAACGCUGGCGGCAGGCCUAACACAUGCAAGUCGAGCGGCAGCGGAAAGUAGCUUGCUACUUUGCCGGCGAGCGGCGGACGGGUGAGUAAUGUCUGGGAAACUGCCUGAUGGAGGGGGAUAACUACUGGAAACGGUAGCUAAUACCGCAUAACGUCGCAAGACCAAAGAGGGGGACCUUCGGGCCUCUUGCCAUCAGAUGUGCCCAGAUGGGAUUAGCUAGUAGGUGGGGUAACGGCUCACCUAGGCGACGAUCCCUAGCUGGUCUGAGAGGAUGACCAGCCACACUGGAACUGAGGCACGGUCCAGACUCCUACGGGAGGCAGCAGUGGGGAAUAUUGCACAAUGGGCGCAAGCCUGAUGCAGCCAUGCCGCGUGUAUGAAGAAGGCCUUCGGGUUGUAAAGUACUAUCAGCGGGGAGGAAGGUGUUGAGGUUAAUAACCUCAGCAAUUGACGUUACCCGCAGAAGAAGCACCGGCUAACUCCGUGCCAGCCGCCGCGGUAA
rnacentral:rRNA from 1 species